rnacentral:lncRNA from 1 species
UGCCCCAGUUGGCUGUUCUGCUGAUUCUCGAGAUGCAGCUGAGUGAUCUUCUUUUCUUGCUCAAGAGGUCGGGAAAUCUCGUCAGGAAUCCCUUCAACAUCAUCUUCGUCCGCUUCGAAUACAGGGAUUUCAAAAUUGGGAGAUGACGUCCGAUCACUAUGUUCAAUGGGUUUGAGAAACAACCUGCAUAAAGAUUUAGAGAUGAAAAGCUUUUUGAAAAACAAACAAGACAAUCGUUAUGCAGAUGAAAAGGUUGCUUUUAUUCCUGUUUUUAAAGGUUUUUUGUGAUCACCAAUUUCAUGCAAAAAGCGAAAAGGGAAAACAAAUGGAAAAACAAAUGUUUAACAUGAAUUAUUUGAAUGAAAAUAUCAUUGCA